rnacentral:lncRNA from 15 species
AUGUCACUUGUGGUACUUCUUGUUUUAUUCCUAUGCGCACCCAUAAUGGGGGAGAUAUCAAAGAUCCUCAGUGCCACCACUGGAGGCUCCGUCCUGAUCCCCUGCUCUUUACCAGUUCCUCCACUGAGUCUCAGAUGGUUUUACUGGCAGGAGGACCAGUCCACCAACAUCUUGUUUCACUGGGACAGUUUCAGUGGGCAAACACAGCCAAUUGCCAACAAAUACAGGGACAGAUGCCAAGUCUUCAGUACUCAGUUUAGUUCUGGAAAUAUUUCCAUUAGACUUGACAAUGUUACUGUUGGAGAUGACAACAAAACAUUCUGGGUCUAUGUACGUUUAAUCGACAAGAAAAACGUCCCCAAACCAUCUGAACAACGUUGCAAAUCCACACUGCAGGUUUCAGCUCCCUACCAACAUCUAGUCCUGACUGUUAACAACACAGCUAACAGAGCAACCUGCACAGCACAUGGAGGAUACCCUGAACCUAAAGUGUCAUGGACGGGUCGAAACAAAUCCAGCAUUGCACAGCUGGACCUGCAGGAUGCUGAGACAUCCCUGCAGCAGGAUCCAACAGAGAAAACCUUCUCAGUCACAAGCUCUGUCAGUAUGAAGGAGUUCCAGUCUGUAACCUGCAUCAUCUUCAACCCUCGCACCAACCAGAGGAUUAAAGGAACUGCAGAGAUCAAUGAUUCUGGUGAAGACCAGACGUAUCAUCAUUUGGCUGUUGGAAUAACUGUAUCUCUCAUCAUCAUCAUCAUCAUCAUCAUCAUCAUCAUCGCAUUCAUUUCAUCAUAUGUGUGCUACAAAAAAAGAAAGAACCAGAGCGAGAUUAUAAAAGAUCUUCACCAGCCCAGCAAUGGACCACUUCAGCUUUGCUCAGGAGAAAUGUUGCUAGUCCAAAACAGAGAGACUGGUCUUUCUUCAGACCAACAGGAUAAAGAACUGUGUAUAUCCUCAAGCACACUGUAA